UUCCAGUCAGAGCCAGGGAAGCCAGGAGCUUAGAGACGAGAGCAGAGCGAUUUUUGUCUCCGAAAUCCUCCCAUUGCCAGAAACCAACCUUGCAGAUCAGAGAAUAUAUAAGUGGCUCUACGUGGAUGCCGUGGACCCCGGGAAUAUCCUGGCAUUGUGCUCAGCUUGCCCACCGCAGUAAGAGACCUGCGCAAAGAGGUCCAUUUCUCUCACUGUCCAAGAAAUCGAGUGCUCUGUUCAUCAUGCAUUCAACUGAAAGGAACAAUUAGCGCAUCGCUGGCAAAAAGUACAAGCCCCUGCAAAUAAAAAUUCCUGAGACACAACUAUGUACAGAAGGAAAAACAAACGAACACACACCCCAUCUUGCGGCUCAGAGCAGCGGUAAUGCAGGAGAAGAUUGUACUUACAGCCAGUGUUAAUUUGGGAUCUGAAGAAGAUAGUCAACAAAGAGAAGCAUUGACUUCUUUCGGGUUCCCUCUCCAAAAGAAAACCCAGCCUAAACCACAUGAGGGUAAAAGAAAAUAAUGAACCAACCCUCCAAAAUCAAACUCUAACUAGAUAUCCUUGGGCCAGCACCCAGACCCCAGCAAUCCCUAGCUGCUGUUUUGGAAUGUGGAAUCCGCAUGGGGCCAGAGAAGCUGUCAGAGGAACUUGGGGCCUGUCAGGGUGUAAUCAUGCACAAUUCUUGGGAGGGUAUGUGGCCUCUUCAGCCAUAUUGUGAUCUACAUUUCUGGUCAAGAGGGAAUGAUAAGAGUUGGGGCAAGGAACAAAGGUGAAGGAAGCCACUGG
rnacentral:lncRNA from 1 species